AAUGAACGCUGGCGGCAUGCCUAACACAUGCAAGUCGAGCGACAACACGGGGACUUGUUUCUCCUGAGGUUGGCGCGGGACGGGUGAUUACCACGUGGUUAACCUACCUCUAAGACUGGGGUAAUUUCGGGAAACAGGGUCUACUACCGAAUAAUAUGUCGAACCGCUUGGUUCACACGUUAAAGUCGCUUUUGUGUAUAGUAAAAGCCGGUUCCGGGCCGCAUAAGCAAGUUGGUAGGGUAACGGCUUACCAAGGCAACGAUGCGUAGCCGACCUGAGGGGGUGAUCGGCCACACUGGAACUGAGACACGGUCCAGACUCCUACGGGAGGCAGCAGUAGGGAAUCUUCCGCAAUGGGCGAAAGCCUGACGGAGCAACACCGCGUGAGGGAAGAAGGUCUUCGGAUCGUAAAGCUCUGUUAUUAGGAAAGAACAAAUGUGUAUGUAACUAUGCACGUCUUGACGGUACCUAAAGAAUAAGCCACGGCUAACUACGUG
rnacentral:rRNA from 1 species